UACAUGUGGGGCAAGCGUUGUUCGGAAUUACUGGGCAUAAAGGGUGCGUAGGCGGCUUGAUAAGUCAGUGGUGAAAUCGUCCGGCCCAACCGGACACGUGCCAAUGAUACUGUCGAGCUUGAGUGCGUGAGGGGUGGGGGGAACGAGCAGUGUAGCGGUGAAAUGCGUAGAUAUCGGGAGGAACAUCUGUGGCGAAGGCGACACCCUGGACCAGCACUGACACUGAGGCACGAAAGCGUGGGGAGCAAACAGG
rnacentral:rRNA from 1 species